AGGUAAAUAUGAUUUAUAUUUUAAUUUUUAAUACAUUUAUAUACUAUUAAUUAUUUGAUUUGUUUUUUAUUUUUUGUCAAACGGAAAACUUCAUUAACUCGAAAUCAAUGUGGUUGGUACAGAUACGCAUCAAGCGCUUGCUUGGCUAGUCCAUCUUCCAAUACAAAGUUAAUGCGACUACGAAAAAUAAAGCGAGCAAGCUCCAUAGAGUUUGAGAAAGAGAUAACAUCGGAGACGAUUCCGUGAAGAUCGGAGAAAUUUGAUUCGCCUUCAACCGCUGCUAUCAGUUGAGAAGAAUCAGAUUCGAAGAUCACUUUCGUCAAUCCUAGGGCUCAUGCAUGUUCCAUGGCUUCUCUCAGUGCUAAUCCCUCUGCCACAAGAGAAGAAAUCACGAAAGAGGUCGCCAGGCUGCGUCAGAUCUGCAUAUGAUUGCAUCAUAGUUUUCGAUCUGCGGAGCGGUGCGUUGGGGUUGCGUUCUUAUGUCGUUGCUUUGAGCCGUUUGUCAUUCCCUUGCGCUAGUAAGAGCUUUGAGUAAUGUGUUUUGCCCCGAGAAGAUUCGAUUUUGAAAGAUUUUUUGAUUCCUUGCGAGCCAGAUUAUCCAAGCGGCAAGAUGUGUGGAGUUGAUACCUGUUGGAGGAAGUGGUUUGGUCUGCAUAGCAAACUGGAUCCCCUCUUGGACAUUUAAAAUCUGAUCUGUGUCGAGGUUUGAGGCAAAGGGGGCAUCUUUCCAGACCUCCUUAGCGAAGGGGCAAUGGAAGAAGAGAUGUUUAAUAGAUUCAUCCUCAUCGCAGAAUGUGCAUUUUGCGGAGGGGAUGAUUUGUCUAGCGUGUAACCUUGCGUUGACUGGAAUGGCUUCAUGCUUCAUCUUCCACAAGAACAUUUUGAGCUUAGGAGGGAUCGCCAACUUCCAGACAUCUCGCAUCCAACUGGGGUUAGGUGGGGGAGGAGCUGUCGGAUUAUUCCUGCGUCCCAAUCUCUUUCGUUGGGGAGGAGGAGGGAAGCUACCUUUAUAAAGGCAGAGUCACUUGAGGAGGGGGGGGGGGGGCAAUGGGUGCUUCCCAUUCUGAAGUAGAGAGCCAGAGCUCAUUCCAGACAUUGAUGUCUUCGCCAUUGCCUAUUGCCCAUCCGACAUGAUCUUUGAUUAAGUCUCUUCCUAUCAAUAUGCCUCGCCAUCCAUGAGAGCAAGAAGUCGGGGCUGAAAUCUGGAGGAAAUCUGCAUCAGGGAAGUAUUUUCCACGCAGUACCCGAGCAAGGAGACAUUCCGGUGAGGUUAGAAUCUUCCAGCUAAGCUUUGCUAGCAUUGCGUCGUUGAAACAUUGUUUAGAGUCCCAGUAGAAGCGGGUUAAGGCGGAUUGGAUUCUUUUACAGAGAGAGAUGGGAAGCUUGAAGCAACUCAUUGAGUGAUUGGGCAUAGCAGAUAGAACGCUUUUGAGAAGGGUUAGUUUUCCAGCGACAGAGAGUUGUCUUGUGGACCAGCCAAUGGCUCUCUGACGAAUUCGGUCCACAAUAGCGUGUUUGAAGAGCUUUGCUGGAGAAGGUGAUAGCGGAUUUGGCUUGGUUUAUACGCUGGCAUGAGGCUUGCUCGUAGAGGAGUAGGAUGUUUUGGAGUGUCGCAAUGCUCUGGGUAUUAGUUCUACAGAAGAAGAGUGUGUCAUCAGCGAAGAGGAGGUGAUUCACUCUAGGGCUUUGCUGCGAGACUCUGAUGCCCUAGAGCUUUCCAUCUCGCUCGGCUUGUUGACAUAAACCGGAGAGGACUUCAGUGCAGAGGAUGAAGAUGUAGGGUGAAAGCGGGUCACCUUGCCUAAUUCCCCUCUCAGGUAAAACUUUCCCUCUAACUGAUCCAUUGAUGAGAUAUGAAUAGGAAACAGUUGUGAUGCAUUGCAUGAGCAGUAGGAAUAGGUGGUGACAGAAGCCAAGCUUGACCAGCACUGCUCUGAUAAAGUCCCAUUCGAAAAUUGUAGGGCUUCAUGGGAAAUUAGGACAUUAUCAGCUAUAGCUCUUCCCUUUACAAAAGCCGAUUGGUUCUCAGAAAUGAGUCCAUGUAAGAUAGGUUGGAGGCGCAUAGAGAGCAGUUUCGAGAUUAUUUUAUAGUAGACGUUGCAAAGCGCAAUUGGACACCAGUGGAGAGAAGAGUUGGAUCUCAGAUACAAUCUCUUUUCUAACGGUGGACCAGUUGGAGUGAAAAAAAGUGGCUGAGAAGCCAUCUGGUCCAGGGGCCUUAUCGGGGUGAAUUGCCAUGAGGGCUGUAAAGAUCUCCUCAGAAGAGGGAAGUUUUGUGAGAUGGUCAUUUGCUUGGUUUGUUACCUUCGCCGAGAUAGCCGCAUUAACGAUGUGUUCUCGGUCACCUCUAACGGAUUUGAAAAGACUUUCAUAGUAUUGGACCACACAAUUGCGUGGAAGAAGCCGGAGUUUUUAUCACCGAGACUCAACCAAAGGUUUCUGCUGCGCUGUUUCCAGAAAGCUUCUUCAUUAAGGGCUUUUCUCACAUGGAUGAUUCUUGAUUCCACUGCUUCUGAUGGAGAGGAAGUCCAUGUCUCCUUUAUCAGCUCUUUGACUUCAUGGUUGUUCUUUAAGCGUCUGUCAAAUCUAAAGAUGCCUUUGGAUUUUCUUUUGGUGGCAUCAAAACAGGUGACAACGGGCUUAUGAUCUGAGCCUGCAAACUUUAGAUACUCGCUUCGGGCCGCAAAAAAGGUGUCAAACCAGUGGCUAUUUGCAAGGGCUCUAUCAAGCCGGCAGCGGACAACUUGAUCACCUCUGACUCCUCUCCAGGAUAGAUAAUCACCGGAUUGUGGUAGGUCAAAUAGAUCACAGGCUGAAAAGAAGGAUCUGAAGUCGACAAAAGAGCCCUCAGGCCUUAUGACGCCACCUGACUUCUCUUGGUUGCCAAUAAUGUCAUUAAAAUCACCUGUAAGGAACCAAGGAGAAUCCCUGACAGUAG